rnacentral:antisense_RNA from 1 species
CUUCAUGGCGGGCGGUGCGUGGGAGUCUCAGGACUCGCCGGUUCAAUGACGCUACAUCAUCCCGGUUUUCGAGCCACGCACCGUCCCGCCACCUCC